CACCAGCGCCUCGAGUGAUACCCACGAAUAUUGGGCCUAAAGCGUUCGUAGCCGAUCCUGUAAGUCCGCUGUGAAAUGUUGGGGCUUAACUCCAACGCGUGCAGUGGAUACUGCGGGAUUUGGGAGUGGGGGAGGGAAGAAGUACUUCUGGGGUAGCGGUAAAAUGCGUUGAGCCUAGAAGGACUUUCAGUGGCGAAGGCGUCUUCCCAAAACACGUCCGACGGUGAGGAACGAAAGCUGGGGGAGCAAAUCG
rnacentral:rRNA from 1 species